UUGUGCUCCAGAAAACCUCCACGCUCAUUCCAAUAAAAGGGCGUCCUGGGAUUCAUGUGUACAGUGUCCCCAGCUGAGCAUCUGAUUGUUAUCUUUUGGGGGAAAUGAGACCCGCAGAAUGAGAGAGAGGAGGAGAAAGGAAGACAAAGUGCUGUGGGGCUCGUUUGGUCCCGGUGGUUUUCACCUCCAGUGGCUGCUUUAUAUCACCUGGCGUCACGUCAAGAAGUCGCCAGCGAGCAAGGAGUCCAUCCCACAGGUUCAACACAGAAG